rnacentral:rRNA from 1 species
CUACGGGAUGCAGCAGUGGGGAAUAUUGGACAAUGGGGGAAACCCUGAUCCAGCAAUGCCGCGUGUGUGAAGAGGGCCUGCGGGUUGUAAAGCACUUUCGGUUGGGAGGACUGCUUCUAGCACUAAUAUUGUUGGAAGUUGACGUUACCUUCAGAAGAAGCACCGGCUAACUCCGUGCCAGCAGCCGCGGGUAAUACGGAGGGUGCAAGCGUUAAUCGGAAUUACUGGGCGUAAAGCGCGCGUAGGCGGCUAGAUCAGUCGGGGGUGAAAGCCCCGGGCUUAACCUGGGAACUGCAUCCGAUACUGUCUAGCUUGAGUACAGGAGAGGAGAGUGGAAUUCCACAUGUAGCGGUGAAAUGCGUAGAUAUGUGGAGGAACACCAAUGGCGAAGGCAGCUCUCUGGCCUGAUACUGACGCUGAGGUGCGAAAGCGUGGGGAGCAAACAGGAUUAGAUACCCGCGUAGUC